UCAAACACUCUUAACUCACGUUGAUUUUCAGCCCACACACAACUCACACACACUAACACCUAAAACACACACACCAUUCACGCAUAUACCAUUUUUUAGCUUGAGCUCAAGCUUUUGAGCUCCGAUUUGAGCACCGAGAUGAACGCCGAUCAUCUUUUCGAUCACGUAUCUAAGUAGGUCCUUUUGGGAAGUAACGACUUGAGGGAGAGAGUGACGUUACUCAUUGAUACAGAGACACAACGAGGUUGAGCUGAUGUGAUGAUGGUGCUGCAAUGAGCGGAGUCUCCAGGGUUGUUAAUAAAUAGUUAACCUGUCUAGAAUAUGUCUUCAUACAUAUGUCUAGCUACUUUCCGCUGCAAGAUGUUGUUGAUGUUAUAGUAUGUUAUGUCAUACUUUGAGUCUUAAGAGAAUGGUUUCAUAUGAUGUAUAACUUGAUUAAUGAUAUUAAUUAAGUUUUAUGUUGUCUUUCA